rnacentral:ncRNA from 1 species
UUAGAUGUUUGAGAGGGCUUGAUUCUAGUACGAGAGGACCGAAUUGAACAAACCUCUGGUGUAUCAGUUGUUCCGCCAGGAGCACCGCUGAGUAGCUACGGUUGGAAGAGAUAAGCACUGAAAGCAUAUAAGUGCGAAACUCGCCUCAAGAUGAGACAUCUUUUAAGGGUCGUUGGAGAUGACGACGUUGAUAGGCUACAGGUGUAAAGUUGGUAACAGCAUAGCCGAGUAGUACUAAUUACCCGUAGAUUUAUAGCC